ensembl:lncRNA
ACAAAUCAGGAAUAUUUUUAUUUUAAAAAAACAAAAGAAACAAUGAACACUUCCACUUUUCAUCCCACAUCUGUUUGAUUGACAAACGUAAUCAUGAAAAAGCAGUACUACAAAACAUGUCAAAUUAAGAAAAACUAAACAAAAGAACUAGAAUACAAUAUAACAAGUACUAUCUGAUAUGUACAAGCGUCAUAGUUUGCUUAUUCUAAUUAUUGUUAUAGGCAAAAGGCAAAAAAGCUGAAGACUGCUGCUGAAGAGACGAUGGCAUGUGCAAAUUACUCUCCACAAGUCCACAAGCUCGGGACGCUCUGCUCUGAGCAGAAACUACUGCGUUCUCUGGCAAAUCCCGUUCCCACGAAGACAGAUGGCAAAUUUACAAGCUGCGAGGGAAUGGGGACUUUUUUUUUUUGUUUGUUUUUAGAAGGGUGAGCUUGUGGAAGCCUGGUGAAGAAGACUCUCUCAUCAUCAGAGGGACAUACUUCUGAGGACGGCGGAGAGAAAAGACACUGCUGAUCACUGACGGAGAUUAUUGAUCGACCAAACAGCUCCUAAUCUCUAACCACGACUAGUCAAGGACAGAGGAACCAUCAUUACAGCGUCACAAACACGGGUCAACACAGGUACAGAGGUACAGGUAAAAAACACACGGCAACAAGUUCAAGACUCACAUACAGAACAACCAGCAUCUUCUAAGACACUGCAGGGGAAAAUGGAACUGGUAAGAAUGAGAGGAAAAUGUGGUUUUUAGGUGAAAAAGCUGCAGAAUGUGAGUGUGAUGCAUUCAGGUCCUACAAACAUUGAAAUGAUGACUUUAAAACAAGGAUCACUUUGUUGGUGAUGUGUUUUCACUCAUCAGCACUCCAAAAACCUGCAGCUCUAGUUCAAUGUAAUAACAAUUUUGUCACAUUUUAGUUUUGGCAGAGAUUCUCAUUAAACGGAAUAUAUUUAAUUUCUAUCUGCCUCCCUCUUUGGGUGCAAAAGCGACGUCAGUGAAUCAUGAUUUUAUACAAUUUAGGAAAUCAUGAUUGCAAUAAUUUGUCAGACGCCACAAGGCAAAGAUCAUUUUGUGUCAGUGGAGACUAGAUCUGCAAUUUUAGUAAAAAAGUUGAAGGCUUCAUUCCUAAUGUUGUAUAAAUUUCGGACCGUUUCUCAAAUUUAAAAAUGCAACAGCUUUUUACAAUAACUUAAAAAAAAAAACAACUAAUAACUCACCAUGAUUUUAUAAAGGUUAAAUUUCAUACACAGGUUAGCAGAUUGGUAAAAAGCUAUUACAAUGCAGAAAGUUACGUCAGAUUU